CUUACAUGUACCUGCUCCCCCAGCUGCAGAAACAGGGCACCAGUAGCGAGGUGUACCAGCGCGAAGAGGGUUUCUAUGACGAGGCCAUGGGAGACACCUUCUACAACCUCAUGGAAAAUGCCCUGAUGAAUGCUGGGUACGGACCCUUGUGAGCGUGUGCAGCUGCAGUUUGGUCAUCCAAUGGGAUGCCUUCAUUCCAUUCUCAUGUUUAUUUUGAAUAUUUGUGACAGUAAAUACGUGUGUUUUACUGUUAGUAUUAAGUGGGGAGUGAGUCACCUGAAAGAUUUGCUUCGCUUAAGGAUGUGUAUAUUUCUUAAAACUUCCCACACCUGUGGAAGGUGUGAGAGAACAGGUAUAAUCACCUUUGCUGACUCUCAUCCUGGCAAAGUAUACAUUCAAGAAAUUUAAGUCUUAAAAGAAACAGUUGGUCAUCUACAAUGUAAAGCAUACAUGUAACACAAUUAACUUAGCAAAAAAAUAUACAUCAUUAAACAACGAGGUAAUUAAACAUAAGGAAACGUAGUGUCAGCAAUCUACUGUGUUCUAUGUAAUUAUACUAUGGCAUGCUCUUCUGUAAUUUGGUUGGAACUCGAAAGUCACUGAAGUUGUUUGUUUGCCCUCUGUGUAAUGUGGAAUAGUCAAAAGAGAAAAAUCACACAGUCAUUCAAUUAGUUUCAUACCAAGUAAAAUGUGCAAUUCUGUAAAAAAUAAAGGUGUGAUUUACACAUUCAAUCACUUCCCGGAUGCUUUGAAUUAGUUGUUCAGUGCUUUUUUUUUGUGUUUUUCUGUUGUUGUUUUUAUCAUUGUUGUGUUUUGUAAAAUGCAGUACUUUAUAGUCCAUGGAAAUUAUACUAUAUACAUGUACAGCACUCGUUCUACACACUGCACAUAAAGUGUAGUCUGUAUAUUUCCUAUCAUGACGUCACAGUCAUUGUUACUGGUUGCAAUAAAAGUUGAAAUAUGCAGUCAGA